GCCAGGACCACCUGGUAAGCCUGAAUACUACCUGUUGACCGAUAGCGGAUCAGUACCGUGAGGGAAUGGUGAAAAGUACCCCGGGAGGGGAGUGAAAUAGUACCUGAAACCAUGUGCCUACAAACCGUUGGAGCCUCCUUGUGGGGUGACAGCGUGCCUUUUGAAGAAUGAGCCUGCGAGUUAGUGAUACGUGGCGAGGUUAACCCGUGUGGGGAAGCCGUAGCGAAAGCGAGUCUGAAUAGGGCGAUUGAGUCG
rnacentral:rRNA from 1 species